rnacentral:rRNA from 1 species
AGGGAAUCUUCCGCAAUGGACGAAAGUCUGACGGAGCGACGCCGCGUGAGUGAUGAAGGUCUUCGGAUCGUAAAACUCUGUUGUUAGGGAAGAAUAAGUAUAAGGCGAAUAACCUUAUACCUUGACGGUACCUAACCAGAAAGCCCCGGCUAACUACGUGCCAGCAGCCGCGGUAAUACGUAGGGGGCGAGCGUUGUCCGGAAUUAUUGGGCGUAAAGGGUGCGUAGGCGGUCUCUUAAGUCUGAUGUGAAAGCCCACGGCUUAACCGUGGAGGGUCAUUGGAAACUGGGAGACUUGAGUGCAGAAGAGGAGAGUGGAAUUCCAUGUGUAGCGGUGAAAUGCGUAGAGAUAUGGAGGAACACCAGUGGCGAAGGCGACUCUCUGGUCUGUAACUGACGCUGAGGCACGAAAGCGUGGGGAGCAAAC